AGAGCGAACGCUGGCGGCAGGCUUAACACAUGCAAGUCGAGCGGGCGUAGCAAUACGUCAGCGGCAGACGGGUGAGUAACGCGUGGGAACGUACCUUUUGGUUCGGAACAACCCAGGGAAACUUGGGCUAAUACCGAAUAAGCCCUUACGGGGAAAGAUUUAUCGCCGAAGGAUCGGCCCGCGUCUGAUUAGCUAGUUGGUGGGGUAACGGCCCACCAAGGCGACGAUCAGUAGCUGGUCUGAGAGGAUGAUCAGCCUCAUUGGGACUGAGACACGGCCCAAACUCCUACGGGAGGCAGCAGUGGGGAAUAUUGGACAAUGGGCGCAAGCCUGAUCCAGCCAUGCCGCGUGGGUGAUGAAGGCCCUAGGGUUGUAAAGCCCUUUCGGCGGGGAAGAUAAUGACGGUACCCGCAGAAGAGCCCGGCUAACUUCGCGCCAGCAGCCGU
rnacentral:rRNA from 1 species